rnacentral:rRNA from 1 species
GGGUAGUUUGACUGGGGCGGUCUCCUCCCAAAGAGUAACGGAGGAGCACGAAGGUUAGCUAAUCACGGUCGGACAUCGUGAGGUUAGUGCAAAGGCAUAAGCUAGCUUGACUGCGAGAGUGACGGCUCGAGCAGGUACGAAAGUAGGUCUUAGUGAUCCGGUGGUUCUGAAUGGAAGGGCCAUCGCUCAACGGAUAAAAGGUACUCCGGGGAUAACAGGCUGAUACCGCCCAAGAGUUCAUAUCGACGGCGGUGUUUGGCACCUCGAUGUCGGCUCAUCACAUCCUGGGGCUGAAGUAGGUCCCAAGGGUAUGGCUGUUCGCCAUUUAAAGUGGUACGCGAGCUGGGUUUAGAACGUCGUGAGACAGUUCGGUCCCUAUCUGCCGUGGGCGUUGGAAGAUUGAGAGGGGUUGCUCCUAGUACGAGAGGACCGGAGUGAACGCACCACUGGUGUUCGGGUUGUCAUGCCAAUGGCAUUGCCCGGUAGCUAAGUGCGGAAAAGAUAAGCGCUGAAAGCAUCUAAGCGCGAAACUUGCCUCAAGAUGAGUCUUCCCUGGGCCUUUAAGGCCCCUGAAGGAACGUUUAAGACUAAGACGUUGAUAGGCUGGGUGUGUAAGUGCAGCGAUGCAUUGAGCUAACCAGUACUAAUGAUCCGUGAGGCUUAACCUU